GGAUCCAGACUUUGAUUAUGGCUCAGGACGAACGCUGGCGGCGUGCUUAACACAUGCAAGUCGAGCGAUGAAGUUCCUUCGGGAGCGGAUUAGCGGCGAACGGGUGAGGAACACGUGAGGAAUCUACCUUCUACACUGGGAUAACUCCGGGAAACCGGGGCUAAUACCGGAUAUGAAAUUUGAUGGCAUCGUCAGGUUUGGAAAGUUUUUCGGUAGAAGAUGACCUCGCGGCCUAUCAGCUUGUUGGUGAGGUAAUGGCUCACCAAGGCGACGACGGGUAGCCGGCCUGAGAGGGCGACCGGCCACACUGGGACUGAGACACGGCCCAGACUCCUACGGGAGGCAGCAGUGGGGAAUAUUGGGCAAUGGAGGGAACUCUGACCCAGCGACGCCGCGUGCGGGAUGAAGGCCUUCGGGUUGUAAACCGCUUUCAGCAGGGAAGAAGCGAAAGUGACGGUACCUGCAGAAGAAGCACCGGCUAACUAUGUGCCAGCAGCCGCGGUAAUACAUAGGGUGCAAGCGUUGUCCGGAAUUAUUGGGCGUAAAGAGCUCGUAGGUGGUUCGUCACGUCGGAUGUGAAAAUCUGGGGCUCAACCCCAGACCUGCAUUCGAUACGGGCGAGCUAGAGUUUGGUAGGGGAGACUGGAAUUCCUGGUGUAGCGGUGGAAUGCGCAGAUAUCAGGAGGAACACCAAUGGCGAAGGCAGGUCUCUGGGCCAAUACUGACACUGAGGAGCGAAAGCGUGGGGAGCGAACAGGAUUAGAUACCCUGGUAGUCCACGCCGUAAACGGUGGGCACUAGUUGUGGGGACCUUCCACGGUCUCUGCGACGCAGCUAACGCAUUAAGUGCCCCGCCUGGGGAGUACGAUCGCAAGAUUAAAGCUCAAAGGAAUUGACGGGGCCCCGCACAAGCAGCGGAGCAUGCGGCUUAAUUCGACGCAACGCGAAGAACCUUACCAAGGCUUGACAUAUACCGGAAUAUGGCAGAAAUGUCAUAGCUGUUAAAGGUCGGUAUACAGGUGGUGCAUGGUUGUCGUCAGCUCGUGUCGUGAGAUGUUGGGUUAAGUCCCGCAACGAGCGCAACCC
rnacentral:rRNA from 1 species